rnacentral:ncRNA from 1 species
CUUUAAAUAGGUAGGAUGGCUCGGCUGCUUCGAUGAGUCGUGCUACGGAAUCAGGUUCUCCAAGUGGGCCAUUUUUGUUAAGCAGAACUGGCGAUGCGGGAUGAACCGGAAGUCGUGUUACGGUGCCCAACUGUGCGCUAACCUAGAACCCAAAAAGGGUGUUGGUCGAUUAAGACAGUAGCAUGGUGUUCAUGGAAGUCGAAAUCCGCUAAGGAGUGUGUAACACUCCUGCCAAUCAACUUAG